rnacentral:pre_miRNA from 1 species
UCCAAUGGAUGAGUAAAUGAAGUGAUUUCUUGAGCUAGAAUCUACUCCUGGUGAAGAUGCUUUGAA